GACGAACGCUGGCGGCGUGCUUAACACAUGCAAGUCGAGCGGUAAGGCCCUUUCGGGGGUACACGAGCGGCGAACGGGUGAGUAACACGUGGGUGACCUGCCCUCAGCUCUGGGAUAAGCCUGGGAAACUGGGUCUAAUACCGGAUAUGACUCCAUGACGCAUGUUGUGGGGUGGAAAGCCUUGUGCGGCUGAGGAUGGGCCCGCGGCCUAUCAGCUUGUUGGUGGGGNGAUGGCCUACCAAGGCGACGACGGGUAGCCGGCCUGAGAGGGCGACCGGCCACACUGGGACUGAGACACGGCCCAGACUCCUACGGGAGGCAGCAGUGGGGAAUCUUGCGCAAUGGGACGAAAGCCUGACGCAGCGACGCCGCGUGAGGGAUGACGGCCU
rnacentral:rRNA from 1 species